UGCCCAUUGGCCCAGUGGUCAAGGCGUCUGACUGUUAAAACGCGACCCACCGCGGACGCAGACAAGCAAUCAGAAGAUCCCUGGUUCGAUCCCAGGAUGGGCAG